CAGAGAGAAAAAUUAAGAAAAAGGAAGAAGCUUUCCGGCACAGUGAGAGAGAGAGAGAGAGAUAGAGAGAUAGAGAGAGGGAGGAGAUGAAGUACAGAUGUGUAGAGUGUGGAUUUGCAAUCAAAACGCUGUUCGUGCAAUACUCUCCAGGGAACAUUCGACUCAUGAAAUGCGAGAACUGCAAAGCAGUAGCCGACGAGUAUAUCGAAUGUGAAUUCAUGAUUAUUCUUAUUGAUUUGAUUUUGCACAAGCCAAAAGCAUAUAGACAUAUUCUAUAUAAUGUUCUCAAUCAAGAAACUAUCAAUUCAGAGGGUUUGCUGUGGAAAACCACCAUCAGUUUUCUUCUUUUGGAUGCUUAUAGAAGUCUACUUUUGCAGAGAAAUGGGGAAGAACAUGGUUCUUUUUUGAGCUUUUCCUCCAAAAAGAUAAUCAUGGAUGUCUUUGCUGCAAAUAUCAUGUUCUUCUGCAUUGUUUUUCUUACAACAAGGCUUUUACUGAACAAAUCAGUGGGAUUCUCCAGGUUCGGAAAUCUAUUUCUGGCAAUCAUUGUUUCGAGCUAUUUAAAGAUUUUUCUUGUUGCCAUGAUGGUCUGGGAAUUUCCAUCUUCUGUGAUUUUCAUCAUUGAUUUAUUUGUUUUAUCUUCCAAUGCAGUGGCGUUAAAAGGUCAGAUAACAAGUACUUGGUUUUCUUGGAAAAAUAUAAAUUACUUCUAUGGACGAGCUUCACCAUGUCAUCAUACUGUUUAUUAUCAUAAUUUGAUGCAUAGAACUUUGCAAUAGCGUUUCAUUUUGGUCCACCACCCAGCUGUUUAAAAUCAUUAAAAGAACGCAGACUUGAAGCCAUCCUCCUAAAGCACAUGAAACUUAGGAGAACACUGCAAGAAUCUUCAUUUCUCAGGGCAGCCGCAACCUCAUAAACUAACUGGGUGAGACUUUUUGUUUGUGGACCUGAGACUGUUCUGAACUGCAACUUCGUAAUCAGCUGUUUUCAUUAGCAAUUGCCCACACCAUAUUGUUAGUGCAUCGGAUAGGACUUCCUAUAUCUUCAAUUGAGAAGACUCAUUCUUGAAGAAAUAUCUUCCAGUUGGUUCUCAUUGUCUUUCCAUGCAUGAAAGAUGGAGUUUCCUUUGGGGCGUGCAGAUUAACCCUUGCCCAUGGGGUGAAGAGGGACACAUGCCAUUUGCCUCAAGUCUACAAACUAUCAGCUGCACAGUUGUUAAUAUUGGUAAAUUGGGACCUUGUUGAAGCUCUAGCAGAAUAACUACUUCCGGCUGCAAUUGGAAUCUUAUUUUGUUGGUUGUACCAAGUUAUUUAACUCAAAGUCCUUCAGAUACUCAAUGGUUUAUUUAAUGUGAAGAUAACACUCGAUUUGUCUAAUUGUGACUGAUAUCAAGGAUGUCAGCUCAAGGGAUUAUCAACUUAAAAGAGGGAAAUGAAAUGGAUGGGCCUUGUGUUUGAGAGAAAAGGAUUGCAAAUGUCACAAUUGCUUACAAGAUAGUCACAUGGCUGCCAUUAGCUCUCUCUUAUGUUCUCCUGACAGACCAGAAUAUGGCACUAUGUUGAAACACUAUUGCAAAGUUCAGUGCGUUAGUCAUAAAAAGUUAACGUUCAAUGGUCAUUAUGAAAUAUUUGGUACUCAUAAUUUAAAGGGGGUCGGUGAACCUAAGUUGUUUUUAUUAGACCUUUUGACUAAUCCCUUUUUAACAUAAUAUGAAGCAGUGAUUACUGAAUCGGAUCUGAGCAGAUGCGUCGGGACCUGCUUCUGUGCACAUGCCGUGAAGUUGCUCGCCACUGAGGUGCCCAUCCUGGGACAUAUUUAAGACACGUAGACAUCUGUGAUCAUUAUUGUAUGCUAUUGAAGUUUAAGCUUUAUCGAGUUAAAGAUGUUUCCAUUUUUUUUUUUUUAAAUUUUGUAUUAUCUUGUGGGAAUUACAUUGAAUUCCAAAUUUUGGAGCUCUGCUUAAUUCUUUGUUAGCCUAUGUUGUUGAAUUGAUCCAUCCUAAAGAGAACAGUCAGCUAUUUUCGUUGAAAGAGGAAAACUAUUCUGUCGUGUUGGAUCCGGAAA